rnacentral:tRNA from 1 species
GGGCCGUUAGCUCAGUUGGUCAGAGCAGAGGACUCAUAAUCCUUUGGUCGUUGGUUCGAGCCCAACACGGCCUACCA